GCUCAACCCCGAACGGCCAUUGGAAACUGGGGAACUUGAGUGCAGAAGAGGAGAGUGGAAUUCCACGUGUAGCGGUGAAAUGCGUAGGGAUGUGGAGGAACACCAGUGGCAAAGGCAAUCUUUGGGCUGGAACUGAACCUUAAGGCCCAAAGCCUGGGGAAGCAAACAGAUUAAAUACCCUGGUAAUCCCCCCCCUAAACCAAUAAUGGUAAGUGGUAAGAGUUUCUAUGCCCUUAAUGGCUAAAUUAAAACAUUUAACACUCCCCCCGGGGAAUACCGGCCCCAGGAUUAAACUUCAAAGAAUUUGACGGGACCCCCCCCAACCGGGGAACAUGGGGUUUAAUUUCAAACCACCCCAAAAAACUUUACCAGGCCUGGCCUUCUUUGAACACCCCUGAGAUUGGGCUUCCCCUUUCGGGGCCAGAUGACCAGUGGUGCAUGGUUGGCCUCCACUUCUGGUCUGAGAUGGUGGGUUAAGUUCCCAACCAAGCGCACCCUUGAUCCUAAUUGGCAGCAUUGAGUUUGGCAAUCCUAAGUGACUGCCGUGACAAACCGAAGGAAGUGGGGGAUGACGUCAAAUCUUCUGGCCCUUAUGACUGGGGCUACACGUGCUACAAUGGAUGAUACCAG
rnacentral:rRNA from 1 species